CUGAACCACGUGGCAGUUCCGCGUGGGAAAGUCUGUGUGCCACUGCGCAAGAGUCCUGUGCAGAGAGGGGAGCUGGAGGGUGACCCCCGAAGGCAAUGCUUCCAGCCGUGGAGGGUGGGUGCUGGAGGAGGGUGCUAUACCCGUGGAAAGCAGGGCAGAGGGGAAGCCCAAGGCCCACGGGGGCAUCCAUUGUGCAGAGCUCGGGCACAGACAGAGACAGGACCCGAGACAUGCCCAUGCAUCCCAGAACUUUCCAGCACCUCUUCUGUCUUCGCUCCAAGAUCUACCAGCCUUCAGUGCUCAUGCACCCAGAGGAAGAUCAGCACCACCCCAUCAGAAGUAGUAGCAUGCUGAGUGACCCUGAGUCAUCGGAGCAGGUCACAUUGUGCCAGCCUGUGGAAGUGGGACCCUUUCCCAGCACAGCCCUCAGACGAGGCAGCGGGAGCUGUGCUGGAAGGGGAGAGGUGAGUCAUCCUGGCUGGCAUGCUGGACCAGCCUCUCAGCAGAGAACAGUUUUAUGGUGAUCAAGCCACAGACAGGGCAGGACGGGGCCGGACAUGUGCCCCUGGCUCCUGUCUCUCUGAAGCCCCAGCCCUGUGACUGCACACUUGUCCUUCCUGCAGACAGUACUUCCCACAAGGUCCAGUGGCUGAUGCUGCGUGCUGGCCAACGGGCUUCCACCUGCCAGCCUCUGUGUCUCGUGGCCCGAGGACUUUCCCUUGGACACACAGCUGGCCGGAAAUCUCCAGAGCCAGUCCUCAACUGGUUACAGCUGAGAGCAUUGGUGCAUCAGUACCCUGGUACCCUGGUUCCCUGCCAUCCCCACCCCCAGGGUGGGUAACCCCAAAAUGUGUGCUCUGUACUGUCUCCCACGACUUCCAGAAGCCUCGGGUUGUUCCUGUAGUGUGACCUUGCUUGAUACUUCACCUUGCAUUGGCCACCUCACAAAUGCCCCUCGGAUACUUCCCACAUAAGUCACUUGCAUUCAACUCCUUGUCCCAGGGUCUGUUUCUGGAGGAGCCCAGGCUGAGAUGGGCUUCCAUCCUGCCUCAUGCUGUGACCUUGCUUGGAUGCCAACGGUUGCCUGCUGCUUUGUGGAUCACACCCUCAGAGCCAGGGCUGAUUUUUGGUCAGCAUCUGCAGAGGGCUGGACAGAGCUCAGGGGUGACAGAGAAUGGAGUUAGAGGAGGCACUUGGCAGAGGAGGGGCCACUUGAGCAAGGUCUUGAAGGGUAAAUAGGAGUUUGCCUGUGGAGAAAAAAGCACAGGAGUACCUCCACCUCGCCCAUCUUAACCCUGAGCUAUUUGCAGAAAGUACCUGGACAGCGAUACCCAUCACUUAGCUAUGGGAUUCUGGAAUGUGAACUUGUAUAGCUCUGACUGGUCACUCCUCAGCUCUGAAAUCUGCAGUGGCUCCCCAUGGCCUGCAGUGGGUCCAAGCUCUUUGGCUUAUAGUUUGAAGCCCUCUGCAAACUGGCUCUACCCUACUUUCAUGCUGUCACUCAUGUCAUUGCUGCUGCCGGCUGCCCAGUGAGCCCAACCUGGCAAAAUUCUGUCUCUCCUGUGCCAUCCAAACACCCUCUCCGCCAGGAAGCCACCCAGUGGUGGCUCAAAAUAACGGCUCUCAAUCCUCUGCCCAUAGAGCACCAUGGACAGACUCUAAGGCACCUUCCAGCUCCAGACUAGGGUGAGUCACUAAUCUGGGUCAACCAGAAGCUCCUCAAGGUUAAGACCCAUCGCGUGGACUCCCUGUACCCCCAUAUCCCAGCAGUAAUGACAAUGACCUGAUGCUUCUGGGACAUUUCACAACUCCCUUAUAUCUCUCCUUCGGCCUUGUGUAGAGAACACAUCUCCACCAACACAGCUGGUUCAGAUGGCCUGUAGGGGCACCUGUGCAGCCCCAGGGCUGGAUUUAUGGUUUAAUUUAUGAUUUAUAAGAGGAAGGAUGGAGCUCAUCAGGAACGCUUCAGCCAUCCCACAUGCUUCUUAAUUAAGUGAAAGAUGAGGGUCCCACUGUCUUAGGAACCCCUCUUUCCUUCCCCCCCCCCCCAGUGUCACAUUGUCAGAGGCAGGGUCUGGGAAGGAUAUGCUCAGAGUGGGUACGGUCUAGGUAGCCCAGGAUAGAGCCGAUUCCCCUUGCGGAUGAGCCUGACACCCAAAUCAGAAGUUUGAACGUAUUCCUUAAUUAGAGCUCGACUUUGUUCUCAGCUGCCCACUGGAGUGGGCCCCCGAUAAGACCAGGCAGCAUUGUUGUCUUUAUGCUUAUGAGGUGAAUCCACUGGAAGAGCACAUUCUAAAUGAGAUUACAUCUUAUACAUGUUUAAUGUACUGUUUUCACCAUUUAAAAUGAGGCUGUAUUAAAAUAGCAGGGAGGGAAAAUUGACUCUCUGAGCUGGGUGUGGAGAGAAUAGAUCACUAGUGAAAUGAAUAAUAUAUUAACAGAAUAAUGAUGUUGCUUCUCAUAUUAAUCGUAUAAAUCACAAGAUUCUCAAGCUGUCAGCAGAAGUUUAAAAAAAAAAAAACAA